rnacentral:rRNA from 1 species
UACGGGGGGGCAAGCGUUGUUCGGAAUUACUGGGCGUAAAGGGCGCGUAGGCGGUUGGAUAAGUCAGCUGUGAAAACCACGGGCUUAACUCGUGGCCUGCAGUUGAGACUGUCUGGCUUGAGUGUGGGAGAGGAGAGUGGAAUUCCUGGUGUAGCGGUGAAAUGCGUAGAUAUCAGGAGGAACACCGGUGGCGAAGGCGGGUCUCUGGGCCGUAACUGACGCUGAGGAGCGAAAGCGUGGGGAGCGAACAGG